rnacentral:lncRNA from 12 species
UAAUCAAGCAGAAAAGAUUUUGACAAAUGAACUGUGGUGUCUAUAUUGUUAUUGUUACUGUUUUUGGUGUGAAUGGGCCUUAACUUUUAUUAUUUAUGAUGCAAGGACUCAUACAUUUAAAAAUAUCCUACACAAACUAUGACACAUCAUAUCAACACAUUUUCAUAAGAUGUAGGCUAUAGAUUAAUGUCAUACAGAGGAGACUGACAUGGAAGUUUUAUGAAAAUCAGAGCAAAGGGGGAUUGCUUUUAUUUGGAUACACACAAUCAACAUGUUAUGUAAUUCAAAAUAUGAGUUACCAACGAAAAGGUUUAGAUCAGCUAUGGAGACCUACAGAAAGGCAGUUUGCCAACCCUGUGAAUGAAGAGAAGAGGCUGCACAAAACCAGGCAGAAAGAAACAUGUAAGACUCAGUGAUUCUAGCACACGGCUGGCAGGUAUUGAUAGAAUAUAUUGUAACGCUGUGAUUGAACUGGGGACAUAAGUGAUUACUAAAGUCACAGUAGUUAUUAGAAUGAUUAGAAACGCUUUUCUCUUUAUGUGAUUUUCUUCAUCUCUCUGUCUUCCUCUCUCUCCAGGUCCGGGCUUCUUCAGAGCUCUGAGAACAGCCAAACAGCAGAACAGGUUUAUGGUGAGGAAAACUGUGUAGUGUACCAGAAAUGUAAGGCUGUCUUCAGUGCAUCAGUGAUCAGUGCAGUUCUCACACAGAGUAUACAGCGCUGGAUAUGUUGCAUGUCAGUUUUAUUAUUCUAUGCAAAUUUGGCAUUGCUUGCACCAUGCUUUACUGCAUGAGCCAAUGCUUUACAUAGGACAGCAAUACAUACUUUUUGUGGACAAUGUAAUGUUCAGCAGGGGUACUGAUAUAAAAUUAAACUAAUUUUGCAAACAUAUUUUAUAACAUCAGUUAUAUUUUAGAUUAUAGAGUAACUUUUAUUUAUAAAUAUGAUGUGAUGGCUCUUACAAUACCAUUUAAAUGACCUACAAAUACAGACAUUUACAAACCAACACAUUUUCAUAAGAUGUAUUAAUGAGUAUCAUACAGAGAAGGUUGACAUCUUCACGGCAGCUGUAUGAAAAUCAGAGGAAAGGGCAAUUGUUUUUAUUGGAGUACACAAACAUUGAAC